GACGAACGCUGGCGGCGUGCUUAACACAUGCAAGUCGAACGAUGAAGCCAGCUUGCUGGUGGAUUAGUGGCGAACGGGUGAGUAACACGUGGGUGAUCUGCCCCAAACUUUGGGAUAAGCCUGGGAAACUGGGUCUAAUACCGAAUAUGACCGAUACUCGCAUGGGUGUUGGUGGAAAGCUCCGGCGGUUUGGGAUGGGCCCGCGGCCUAUCAGCUUGUUGGUGGGGUAAUGGCCUACCAAGGCGACGACGGGUAGCCGGCCUGAGAGGGCGACCGGCCACACUGGGACUGAGACACGGCCCAGACUCCUACGGGAGGCAGCAGUGGGGAAUAUUGCACAAUGGGCGCAAGCCUGAUGCAGCGACGCCGCGUGAGGGAUGACGGCCUUCGGGUUGUAAACCUCUUUCACCAGGGACGAAGCGAAAGUGACGAUACCUGGAGAAGAAGCACCGGCCAACUACGUG
rnacentral:rRNA from 1 species